rnacentral:rRNA from 1 species
CCUACGGGAGGCAGCAGUGAGGAAUAUUGGACAAUGGCCGUAAGGCUGAUGCAGCCAAGCCGCGUGAAUGAAGAAGGAUCUAUGGUUUGAAAACUCCUUUUGUAGGGGAGUAAAGGUAUCCACGUGUGGAUAUUUGCAUGUACCCUAUGAAUAAGCAGCGGCUAACUCCGUGCCAGCCGCCGCGGUAAUACGGAGGAUGCGAGCGUUAUCCGGAUUUAUUGGGUUUAAAGGGUGCGUAGGUGGUUUUUUAAGUCAGCGGUGAAAGCUUGUGGCUCAACCAUACAAUUGCCGUUGAAACGGGGAGACUUGAGUGUGUGAGAGGUAAGCGGAAUGCGUGGUGUAGCGGUGAAAUGCAUAGAUAUCACGCAGAACACCGAUGGCGAAGGCAGCUUACUAAGCCAUAACUGACACUGAGGCACGAAAGCGUGGGGAUCAAACAGGAUUAGAUACCCCAGUAGUC